rnacentral:rRNA from 1 species
AGUGAACGCUGGCGGUAGGCCUAACACAUGCAAGUCGAACGGCAGCACAGUAAGAGCUUGCUCUUACGGGUGGCGAGUGGCGGACGGGUGAGGAAUACAUCGGAAUCUACUUUUUCGUGGGGGAUAACGUAGGGAAACUUACGCUAAUACCGCAUACGACCUACGGGUGAAAGCAGGGGAUCUUCGGACCUUGCGCGAUUGAAUGAGCCGAUGUCGGAUUAGCUAGUUGGCGGGGUAAAGGCCCACCAAGGCGACGAUCCGUAGCUGGUCUGAGAGGAUGCUCACCCACACUGGAACUGAGACCCGGUCCAGCCUCCUACGGGAGGCAGCAGUGGGGAAUAUUGGACAAUGGGCGCAAGCCUGAUCCAGCCCUCCCGCGUGGGUGAAGAAGGCCUUCGGGUUGUAAAGCCCUUUUGUUGGGAAAGAAAAGCAGCAGGUUAAUACCCCGCUGUUCUGACGGUACCCAAAGAAUAAGCACCGGCUAACUUCGUG